CCUAUGGGUGGCAGCAGUGGGGAAUAUUGGACAAUGGGCGAAAGCCUGAUCCAGCCAUGCCGCGUGUGUGAAGAAGGCCUUCGGGUUGUAAAGCACUUUCAGUGGGGAAGAAAGCCUUGGGGCUAAUACCCUCGAGGAAGGACAUCACCCACAGAAGAAGCACCGGCUAACUCCGUGCCAGCAGCCGCGGUAAUACGGAGGGUGCGAGCGUUAAUCGGAAUUACUGGGCGUAAAGCGCGCGUAGGCGGUCUGAUAAGCCGGUUGUGAAAGCCCCGGGCUCAACCUGGGAACGGCAUCCGGAACUGUCAGGCUAGAGUGCAGGAGAGGAAGGUAGAAUUCCCGGUGUAGCGGUGAAAUGCGUAGAGAUCGGGAGGAAUACCAGUGGCGAAGGCGGCCUUCUGGACUGACACUGACGCUGAGGUGCGAAAGCGUGGGUAGCAAACAGGAUUAGAUACCCGAGUAGUC
rnacentral:rRNA from 1 species